UACGUAGGGGGCAAGCGUUGUCCGGAUUUAUUGGGCGUAAAGAGCGUGUAGGCGGCCGCACAGGUCCGUUGUGAAAACUGGAGGCUUAACCUCCAGACGUCGAUGGAAACCGUGCGGCUAGAGUCCGGAAGAGGAGAAUGGAAUUCCUGGCGUAGCGGUGAAAUGCGCAGAUAUCAGGAAGAACACCCGUGGCUAAGGCGGUUCUCUAGUACGGUACUGACGCUGAGACGCGAAAGCGUGGGGAGCGAACAGG
rnacentral:rRNA from 1 species